AUACUUACCUAGUAUGGGAGAUACCAGGGACAUGAAAGUGGUUCCAGGAUGAGGCUUAUCCAUGACACUUCAGGUGUGCGGACUCCUGUGAUUUCCCCAAAUAGGAAACUCAACUGCAUAAUUUGUAAGAGUGCAGAACUGUGUUCACACUCUCCC
ensembl:snRNA U1 U1 spliceosomal RNA